rnacentral:rRNA from 1 species
UGGAAACUGGGAAACUUGAGUGCAGAAGAGGAGAGUGGAAUUCCACGUGUAGCGGUGAAAUGCGUAGAGAUGUGGAGGAACACCAGUGGCGAAGGCGACUUUUUGGUCUGUAACUGACGCUGAGGAGCGAAAGCGUGGGGAGCGAACAGGAUUAGAUACCCUGGUAGUCCACGCCGUAAACGAUGAGUGCUAAGUGUUAGGGGGUUUCCGCCCCUUAGUGCUGCAGCUAACGCAUUAAGCACUCCGCCUGGGGAGUACGGUCGCAAGACUGAAACUCAAAGGAAUUGACGGGGGCCCGCACAAGCGGUGGAGCAUUUGGUUUAAUUGGAAGCAACGC